UCCGUUGUGGUCUAGUGGCUAGGAUUUGUCGCUCUCAUGUGAAUUCCCUAGCGGGGAUUUUCCAGCGAUCCGACAAGGCCGGGGUUCGAUUCCCGCAACGGAA